rnacentral:tRNA from 1 species
GUAGGUAUAGUUUAAAUAAAAUGUUAGAUUGUGAUUCUGAAGACAGGGGCUAAUAUCCCCUUAUCCACC